rnacentral:lncRNA from 1 species
CCUGCAGAUGUGUGUGGACUUCAGCCCAGUGCUUUGGGGCCUUCGGAUUCCAGCGACCGCACACCUGCUAUGUGCUGUGGCCAGCGAGGGUCAGAGCUAUCCCUCCUUUGCCAGGCAACUCUUGGGAGCCUCUCCCCCUCCUCUGCAGACAGGAAAUCCCAUUGUGUGAGAGCCCUUAGUAGGUUCCUGUGAACUUUGUGUACCAAGGUGUCCAGUGCCACUGACACUGACCUGGGGCCUUUACAAAUGGUAACUCUCCUCCAUCUUCCCAGGGCUGCAGGCUUGGCGUCCACUGCCGGCUUGGGCUUUCGUCCCUCAGCUCUCUUUCCCAGCCCACAGGAACAGAACUGCCAUCCAAUUUCAAGUCCAGGUCCUUCCUAAGAGAUUCUUAAACUGAAUUCUGCAGCUGCCUCUGGAAGAACUCUGGCCCCUGGAGCUGAGCUUGUCUGCCUCAUGCU